rnacentral:other from 1 species
UACCUCCUGCGAUGUUCGUCACGGCGAAUAAUGUUUUGAACCAAUGCUGUUUCAAAGGGAGUCCUACAUUGCCAAGCGGCUGGCACGCCCUCGAAAGGGGAAGUCAAUAAGCUUCGCUGCGGACACCCACCUGCGAGAGCGGGUUCAGAAACGUGCACGUCGAACGGCAUAGGCGGGUUUUUC